UGCUUCGGAAUCUGCCCUUCAGUGGGGAAUAACCAGUCGAAAGAUUGGCUAAUACCGCAUACGAACUACGGUUGAAAGCAGGGGAUCGCAAGACCUUGCGCUGAUGGAUGAGCCGAAGUCGGAUUAGCUUGUUGGUGGGUAACGGCCUACCAAGGCGACGAUCCGUAGCUGGUCUGAGAGGACGACCAGCCACACUGGGACUGAGACACGGCCCAG
rnacentral:rRNA from 1 species